ACGAACGCUGGCGGCAUGCCUAACACAUGCAAGUCGCACGAGACCUUCGGGUCUAGUGGCGCACGGGUGCGUCACGCGUGGGAACCUGCCCUUAGGUUCGGAAUAACUCCCCGAAAGGGGUGCUAAUACCGGAUAAUGUCUUCGGACCAAAGAUUUAUCGCCUUUGGAUGGGCCCGCGUUGGAUUAGCUAGUUGGUAGGGUAAAAGCCUACCAAGGCGACGAUCCAUAGCUGGUCUGAGAGGAUGAUCAGCCACACUGGGACUGAGACACGGCCCAGACUCCUACGGGAGGCAGCAGUGGGGAAUAUUGGACAAUGGGCGAAAGCCUGAUCCAGCAAUGCCGCGUGAGUGAUGAAGGCCUUAGGGUUGUAAAGCUCUUUUACCCGGGAUGAUAAUGACAGUACCGGGAGAAUAAGCUCCGGCUAACUCCGU
rnacentral:rRNA from 1 species